GACGAACGCUGGCGGCGUGCUUAACACAUGCAAGUCGAACGGAAAGGCCCUGCUUUUGUGGGGUGCUCGAGUGGCGAACGGGUGAGUAACACGUGAGUAACCUGCCCUUGACUUUGGGAUAACUUCAGGAAACUGGGGCUAAUACAGGAUAGGAGCUCCUGCUGCACGGUGGGGGUUGGAAAGUUUCGGCGGUUGGGGAUGGACUCGCGGCUUAUCAGCUUGUUGGGGGGGUAGGGGCUUACCAAGGCUUUGACGGGUAGCCGGCCUGAGAGGGUGACCGGCCACAUUGGGACUGAGAUACGGCCCAGACUCCUACGGGAGGCAGCAGUGGGGAAUAUUGCACAAUGGGCGGAAGCCUGAUGCAGCAACGCCGCGUGCGGGAUGACGGCCUUCGGGUUGUAAACCGCUUUCGCCUGUGACGAAGCGUGAGUGACGGUAAUGGGUAAAGAAGCACCGGCUAACUACGUG
rnacentral:rRNA from 1 species